rnacentral:tRNA from 1 species
UCCGCCGUUCUAUCAGCGGUAGAGCAAGCGACUGUUAAUCGCUUGGCCGGCGGUUCGAAUCCGUCCCGGGGAGCCA